rnacentral:rRNA from 1 species
UACGGGGGGAGCAAGCGUUGUUCGGAUUUACUGGGCGUAAAGGGCGCGUAGGCGGCCAGCACAAGUCAGUUGUGAAAUCUCCGAGCUUAACUCGGAAAGGUCAACUGGUACUGUGCGGCUAGAGUGCGGAAGGGGCAACUGGAAUUCUUGGUGUAGCGGUGAAAUUCGUAGAUAUUCGCAAGAACACCAGUGGCGAAGGCGGCUCACCGGCCCGGUACUGACGCUGAGGUGCGAAAGCGUGGGGAGCAAACAGG